rnacentral:rRNA from 1 species
UACGUAGGCAGCGAGCGUUGUUCGGAGUUACUGGGCGUAAAGGGUGUGUAGGCGGUUGUUUUAAGUUUGGUGUGAAAUCUCCCGGCUCAACUGGGAGGGUGCGCCGAAUACUGAAUGACUUCGAGUGCGGGAGAGGAAAGUGGAAUUCCUGGUGUAGCGGUGAAAUGCGUAGAUAUCAGGAGGAACACCGGUGGUGUAGACGGCUUUCUGGACCGUAACUGACGCUGAGACACGAAAGCGUGGGUAGCAAACAGG